rnacentral:rRNA from 1 species
UAGGGAAUUUUCGUCAAUGGGCGCAAGCCUGAACGAGCGAUGCCGCGUGAGUGAAGAAGGCCUUCGGUCGUAAAGCUCUGUUGCGGGGGAAAAAAGGCAGCAUCAGGAAAUGGGUGCUGACUGAUGGUGCCCCGCCAGAAAGUCACGGCUAACUACGUGCCAGCAGCC